rnacentral:sRNA from 1 species
AAAAAACCAAAACCAAAAAAAAAC